UUGACUUUCUCCGCCACGCAGCGUGUUUUGGGACCUUUACUGCGCAGCUCCUGAAAGGCGAGACACUUGUGAACAUUCGAGUGAAGCGAAAGCCUUUCAUGACUACAGCGCAGCUGCCGCCCCGAGUCCUGUGCUUGGAAACAUUCCCCCGAACGACGGGAUGCCCGGGGGCCCCAUCCCGCCCGGGUUCUUCCAGGGACCGCCUGGGUCACAGCCCUCGCCACACGCACAGCCUCCACCCCACAAUCCUAACAGCAUGAUGGGACCCCACAGUCAGCCGUUCAUGUCGCCGCGCUACGCUGGAGGUCCCCGGCCCCCCAUCAGGAUGGGCAACCAGCCCCCGGGUGCCGUUCCCGGUACACAGCCAUUGCUGCCCAAUUCGAUGGAUCCCACGCGACAGCAAGGGCACCCUAACAUGGGCGGCCCCAUGCAAAGGAUGAAUCCUCCGCGAGGGAUGGGCCCCAUGGGUCCCGGUCCGCAGAACUAUGGCAGCGGCAUGAGACCUCCACCCAACUCCCUCGGUCCCGGCAUGCCUGGAAUUAACAUGGGGCCGGGAGCAGGCAGACCGUGGCCGAACCCCAGCAGUGCUAACUCAAUCCCAUACUCUUCUUCAUCGCCUGGUACAUACGUGGGUCCGCCCGGCGGCGGCGGUCCUCCGGGGACGCCCAUCAUGCCCAGUCCUGCAGAUUCAACAAAUUCAAGUGACAACAUCUACACAAUGAUUAAUCCAGUACCGCCCGCAGGCAGUCGAUCGAAUUUCCCGAUGGGCCCCGGCUCUGACGGCCCCAUGGGCGGCAUGGGCGGCAUGGAGCCCCAUCACAUGAACGGAUCGUUAGGGUCAGGAGACAUAGAUGGACUUCCAAAAGUAAAAUUCUCCAAACAACAUAAGUGGCAUUAGCAAUCCCCCGGGAACUCCAAGAGACGACGGGGAGCUGGGAGGCAACUUUCUCCAUUCCUUCCAAAAUGACAAUUAUUCCCCCAGCAUGACGAUGAGUGUGUGAUUUCCCUCCCCCUCCUCCUCUCCAGGAUCAAGAGAGUCAGCUGCCGUUCGGAGGUUCUCAACGAAUUAUGCAAGAAGAAGAAGAAGAAGAAGCUAGGUGUAUGGGCAGGGAGACGCGUGGCGGGGGCCAAAACCCCAGGUUUAGUUUCAUGCAAUAAAAAGGCUGAACUUUUUAUUCCAUAAAACAUGAAGGACAAAACUUAAAAUAUUUCAAGACAUGACAAGACCCUUCUUUGUGCAGAAGGGUUUAUAUAUGUACAUGACACUUCUUUUUGGAAACAAACGGAAGCCUCUAGCACCCAACUCCGAUCUCUUUGCUUUGUUCUUUUAAAUAAAGACAGAAACCGAACCUGUUGUAUGUUUGUGCCGUGCGACACCAGGAAGCUAGUCUAGAUAUAAAAUCUCAUGUUGUCUCUGUUGUAGUCAUUUUUUUAAAUAAACUGGACAGUUUACAAUGGUGGUUUUCGUUCAGAAGGCCUGUUGUUUUUUUUUUUUGGUUUUGGGGUUUUUUUCCCUUCUAUUUUUGGGGUUUUUUUGGUUCGUUUGCAGCACAACGCUUCCUCCUCCAGUUAACAAGAUCUGCUUUGGGGAAGAGACUCCACCACCUUUGUUAACGCAGUUAACCCCUUCUAGGAUCACAUCCUCGAAUGAAUCGUGAUCUUGCUCUCUGUGACUGUGGCAUGCACUGUGUUAGUCUUCCCCCCCCACCCCCCCUCUGAAUACGAGAAGAAAUCUCUGUCCCUCCCUUCCCCAGAGUCCUUCAGCUGGUUCACUGCAAAAAUUGAUUUUUUAAUUUUUUUCUGUUUUUAAAUCCAC